AUUGAACGCUGGCGGCAGGCCUAACACAUGCAAGUCGAACGAGUGGCGGACGGGUGAGUAAUGUCUGGGAAACUGCCCGCUGGAGGGGGAUAACUACUGGAAACGGUAGCUAAUACCGCAUACCAUCGGAUGUGCCCAGAUGGGAUUAGCUAGUAGGGGGGGUAAUGGCUCACCUAGGAGACGAUCCCUAGCUGGUCUGAGAGGAUGACCAGCCACACUGGAACGGGGACACGGUCCAGACUCCUACGGGAGGCAGCAGUGGGGAAUAUUGCACAAUGGGCGCAAGCUUGAUGCAGCCAUGCCGCGUGUAUGAAGAAGGCCGUCGGGUUGUAAAGUACUUUCAGCGAGGAGGCGUUACUCGCAGAAGAAGCACCGGCUAACUCCGUGCCAGCCGCCGCGGUAAUUC
rnacentral:rRNA from 1 species